UGAAGAUGCUGUAAAAGACGAUUGGCUCCAGGAAGUGCUUUAGCGUCUUUCCACCUAAAAUAUAAGAAGGGGGAUGAAGAAAACCAGGACAAAUUCAAAACAUUAAAAAAGGGCUGCCGUUUUAAGAUGAUGGUUUGCAUGUUUGGGUACUUCAAAGGUAACUGUCAGCAAUUUUUCAUUUUUAAUUUUCUAAUCCUAUGACUAUAAAAUAGUAGCAAUAUAUGAAGUACUAGUAGUAAUUAAUAGUCCCAUUGUCCAUCUCUUUUGAGUUUGCAUCAUAUGACUUUAAAAACUCUUGUAUAUUGAGUUUUGUGUGUAUUGUUAAUUCAAAGAGAGUUUUGUGUGUAUUGUUAAUUCAAAGGGACAUGGGGAGUAACUUGUUGUUGGAAAAUAGGACAAGUGGAUAGAAGAAAAUAAAAGGUUAAAAUGAGGAGAAAAUAAGUUUGUGCAUUUUGCAUAAGACUAAGAGAACAAAAAUAAGUCUAUCACCAAAAAGAAAAACACAAAAACGGUGCAUAAUAAAUGGGACAUACUAAGAUGAAAGUAUGUGUAAUUUCACAGGACAAAGGGAGUAUUAUUAUGGAGACAAGACCAGAAAUACUAAGAAUGGAUCAGAGUUUUUUAAAAUCUCAAGUUAGGCAAAUACAAGCAUUGGUCCCAUUCGAAAGCUGCCAACCAAAAUGAGUUGGCCUUUCGUACUGUAAAUGAAUACUAGAAAAGCUCGAUAAGCCAAUUUCCACAAGAGCAAAGUGCAGUUUUGGCAUAGGUGGUAAGGGAUGCCAGAAUUGUCCAAUAACAAGCAGGUGAAAAUAAAUAUAGAAGUACAUGCAUACAUUAUUUAAGAGGAAACAGUCAUGCUUUUUCUCAUGCAUAUUCACGGAACCCUGAAUUUUCAACUAAAUUCUGCUAGUGAUCACUUAUAAUUCUACUUUAAUCAUCUUCUCUUCGCGCAUAAUUCUAUUGAUCGAUAAAAAGUAACUGAUUUUUACAGAACAUUAAAGAACAUUGACUUAUAUGAAUUUAAUUUUCAUGAUUUUCAAACAUAGUAAAAAAAGAAAAAAACGAUCGACAUAAUUUAAACAUGAAUUGAUGAAAAAUAGUCAUAAAAAAACUCACUUGGCACGAUAUAUAGGAAUAAUUUCAGCGAUAAAUUGAUCAGGAGUCAGGGGAAGCUCAUAAUUUUGAACAAUGGCGAUUGCUGAUUCUUUCUGAGUUUUUCCGACUCUAGCAUGCUCUUUAUCAGUAAUCAAAACCUUUCCAUAACUCGCCAAAAAAUCUUUCAA